rnacentral:rRNA from 1 species
UGAUGACGAGACGCUAAGGCGUUGAAGCAGUGUAUGUCAGACUUCCAAGAAAAGCUCGCAAUGUCACAAAUAAAAGAUGCCUGUACCAUAACCGACACAGGUGGGUAGGUAGAGUAUACUAAGGGGCGCGAGAUAACUCUCUCUAAGGAACUCGGCAAAAUGACUCCGUAACUUCGGGAGAAGGAGUGCCUUAUUUAUAAGGUUGCAAUAACAAGAUCCAAGCAACUGUUUAUCAAAAACACAGGUCUCCGCUAAGUCGUAAGACGAUGUAUGGGGGCUGACGCCUGCCCAGUGCCAGAAGGUUAAAGAAGUUGGUUAGUGUAUGCGAAGCUGAUGACUGAAGCCCUGAUGAACGGCGGCCGUAACUAUAACGGUCCUAAGGUAGCGAAAUUCCUUGUCGGGUAAGUUCCGACCCGCACGAAAGGCGUAAUGAUUUGGAUACUGUCUCGGAGAGAGGCUCGGUGAAAUAGACUUGUCUGUGAAGAUGCGGACUACCUGCACCAGGACAGAAAGACCCUAUGAAGCUUUACUGUAACUUGAAAUUGGAAUUGGACUUUGCUUGCGCAGUAUAGGUGGGAAGCGUUGAAAAUAUUCUUGCGGGAGUAUUGGAGCUAUCAGUGAGAUACCACUCUUGUAAUGUUAGAUUUCUAACUUUGAACCAUAAUCUGGUCAAAGAACAGUUUCAGGUGGGCAGUUUGACUGGGGCGGUCGCCUCCCAAAUGGUAACGGAGGCGUACAAAGGUUUCCUCUGAACGGAUAGAAAUCGUAUCUAGAGUGUAAAGGCAUAAGGAAGCUUGACUGUGAGACCUACAAGUCGAGCAGGGACGAAAGUCGGUCUUAGUGAUCUGACGGUACUGAGUGGAAAGGCCGUCACUCAACGGACAAAAGUUACUCUAGGGAUAACAGGCUGAUCUCCCCCAAGAGUUCACAUCGACGGGGAGGUUUGGCACCUCGAUGUCGGCUCAUCGCAUCCUGGGCGGUAGUACGUCCCAAGGGUUGGGCUGUUCGCCCAUGAAAGCGGUACGCGAGCUGGGUUCAGAACGUCGUGAGACAGUUCGGUCCAUAUCCGGUGUAGGCGCUAGAAUAUUGAGAGGAGCCUUCUUUAGUACGAGAGGACCGAGAAGGACACACCGCUGGUGUACCAGUUAUCGUGCCAACGGUAAACGCUGGGUAGCUAUGUGUGGAGUGGAUAACCGCUGAAAGCAUCUAAGUGGGAAGCCCACCUCGAGAUGAG